rnacentral:rRNA from 1 species
CUCAAAUUUGAAAUCUGGCAGUCUUCGAUUGUCCGAGUUGUAAUCUAUAGAAGCGUUUUCCGUGCUGAACUGUGUAUAAGUCCCUUGGAACAGGGUAUCAAAGAGGGUGACAAUCCCGUACUUUACACAAUCAUCAGUGCUCUGUGAUACGUUCUCUACGAGUCGAGUUGUUUGGGAAUGCAGCUCAAAAUGGGUGGUAAAUUCCAUCUAAAGCUAAAUAUUGGCGAGAGACCGAUAGCGAACAAGUACCGUGAGGGAAAGAUGAAAAGCACUUUGGAAAGAGAGUUAAACAGUACGUGAAAUUGUUGAAAGGGAAACGAAAUUCAUGAAUCAUGUUUAUUGGACUCAGCCGUUCUUCGGUGUACUUCCUUUAAACGGGUCAACAUCAGUUUUGUCCGAUGGAUAAAGGUAGUAGGAAGGUGGCUCUCUCGGGAGUGUUAUAGCCUAUUGCUGCAUACAUUGGAUGAGACUGAGGACUGCAGCUUGCCUUUAUGGCCGGGGUUCGCCCACGUUCAAGCUUAGGAUGUUGACAUAUUCUCGAAUCACGA